AAAGGAUGCGUAGGCGGUUUUAUAAGUCUGUUGUGAAAUACCAGAGCUCAACUCUGGGGCUGCAAUAGAUACUGUAAAACUUGAGAUCGGGAGAGGUAAAUGGAAUUCCUAGUGUAGAGGUCAAAUUCGUAGAUACUAGGAGGAACACCAGAGGCGAAAGCGAUUUACUGGAACGAUUCUGACGCUGAGGCAUGAAAGCGUGGGGAGCAAACAGGAUUAGAUACCCGGGU
rnacentral:rRNA from 1 species